rnacentral:rRNA from 1 species
UCAGCCAUGCCGCGUGUGUGAAGAAGGCCUUAUGGUUGUAAAGCACUUUAAGCGAGGAGGAGGCUACUUUAGUUAAUACCUAGAGAUAGUGGACGUUACUCGCAGAAUAAGCACCGGCUAACUCUGUGCCAGCAGCCGCGGUAAUACAGAGGGUGCGAGCGUUAAUCGGAUUUACUGGGCGUAAAGCGUGCGUAGGCGGCUUAUUAAGUCGGAUGUGAAAUCCCCGAGCUUAACUUGGGAAUUGCAUUCGAUACUGGUGAGCUAGAGUAUGGGAGAGGAUGGUAGAAUUCCAGGUGUAGCGGUGAAAUGCGUAGAGAUCUGGAGGAAUACCGAUGGCGAAGGCAGCCAUCUGGCCUAAUACUGACGCUGAGGUACGAAAGCAUG